GAAUUUUGGACAAUGGGCGAAAGCCUGAUCCAGCAAUGCCGCGUGCAGGAUGAAGGACUUCGGGUUGUAAACUGCUCUUGUACGGAACGAAAAGCUUUGGGUUAAUCCCCUUGAGUAAGGACGGUACCGUACGAAUUAGCACCGGAGAAAUGCGUUGCGGCAUCCGCGGUAAUACGUAGGGUGCAAGCUUUAACCGGAAUUACUGGGCGUAAAGCGUGCGCAGGCGGUUUUGUAAGACAGAGGUGAAAUCCCCGGGCUCAACCUGGGAACUGCCUUUGUGACUGCAAGGCUAGAGUACGGCAGAGGGGGGUGGAAUUCCGCGUGUAGCAGUGAAAUGCGUAGAUAUGCGGAGGAACACCGAUGGCGAAGGCAACCCCCUGGGCCUGUACUGACGCUCAUGCACGAAAGCGUGGGGAGCAAACAG
rnacentral:rRNA from 1 species